rnacentral:rRNA from 1 species
AGAGACUGCAAGCGUUAUUCGGAUUCACUGGGCGUAAAGGGUGCGCAGGCGGUUGGGUGUGUCAGAUGUGAAAUCCCGAGGCUCAACCUCGGAACUGCGUCUGAAACUACUCGACUAGAGUACUGGAGAGGGUAACGGAAUUCACGGUGUAGCAGUGAAAUGCGUAGAUAUCGUGAGGAACACCAGAGGCGAAGGCGGUUACCUGGACAGUUACUGACGCUCAGGCACGAAAGCAUGGGGAGCAAAAGGGAUUAGAUACCCCUGUAGUCCAUGCCCUAAACGGUGCACACUAGGUCUUAGCGGAUUCGACCCCACUAGGGCCCAAGCUAACGCGUUAAGUGUGCCGCCUGAGGACUACGGUCGCAAGACUA